rnacentral:rRNA from 1 species
UACGGGGGGAGCAAGCGUUGUUCGGAAUCACUGGGCGUAAAGGGCGCGUAGGCGGCUUUAUAAGUCGGGGGUGAAAGCCUGUGGCUCAACCACAGAAUUGCCUUCGAUACUGUAGAGCUUGAGACCGGAAGAGGUAAGUGGAACUGCGAGUGUAGAGGUGAAAUUCGUAGAUAUUCGCAAGAACACCAGUGGCGAAGGCGGCUCACUGGCCCGGUACUGACGCUGAGGUGCGAAAGCGUGGGGAGCAAACAGG